ACGGCGGUUUUCCGGAGCGCGAGCCGGUGCCAUUUCUUUCGGCCUGAGGACUCGACGAAGCAGAGAAAAACCCCACAUGUUCACUACACUUUCGUUCUCAUGACUACUUUAUUAGAAGACUGAAUCUUAAAUCUCCUACUGCAAGUCCAGAAAGAUGGGAGAUGCUCACGUAGAGAGGAUUGGUUGCCUGCAGAUGGUGGAAGUAAGGGAUAAUAGUUGCCGUCUGCUGGUGUUGCAGAAUAAAGAUGUUGUGUUGACUUCUGGCAGCUGACUGUUCUAGGAGGAUACAUCCAGUGUGAUAGCUAUUAUCGAUGCCACCUCAGAAUAAAAAAAACAAAAAUGGUUGACAACCUCAGAUUAUUCUGAGAACUCAAGUGUGGUGGUGUGGAAACACCUAGUAAAAGACCCUGAUGUUCACUUUGCUGGACCAGAAACAUCUACUGGAGUUGAAACGAUGAACGAUAAGUAUCCAGUCGGAACUGAUCUUUGUAGAGACUGUUUGUAAAAAGAAGAAUUCUCUUCAAACCCAAUAAAGUUUUUUUUUGUGAAAAAAUACAAAAAUGGUAUUGGUUGAUAAACAACAGAUUGUUCUAACAACUUGAGCUUCUGGUGUGUGGAAAGUAGCAGCUUUGCUGGACUUGAAACAUCCACUAAAGUUGAAACGAUGAAAGAUAAGUAACCAGUCGGGACUAAUCUUCGAAGAAACAGUAUUUUUUGUCAAAAAGAAUGAUGAAAUGAAAACAGGUUUGCAGCUUCUUACGAAGUAGCACUGUUGGUGAGGAAAACUGUUUUCUGAUGGUGAAGAAACUGAAAGCAACAACAAUUUAAUUUGUAAAGCGCCUUUCAGGUCAGGAGGACAUCCCAAGCCGUUGGACAGUCAGGGAUUUGGAUCUUAGCCUUCAGAUAAAUUAGUGGACAGCUAAAUCCAGUCCAAAUUUCAUGAUGUUCAAGUUGUUCCAAAGGGAAAGUACUCUUUCAGUUUUGGUCUUUAAGAUACCUGGUUGUUUCGUUAUUAGAGGGGAAGGACAAGUUACAAGAGGGACCUAAAUUUCUUGAUUUCAGUGAGUGGCUGAAUGAUUUUCCACUUUUAAAUGAUAUAAUGGCUCAUUGGAACAAUUUAAUGUUGCAGGGAGAUGUUUUUGAAUCUUGCCCAUGACAUCUCAGCCACUUUGAAUGCAUAGAAAGGCAGCUGGAAAAUGAAAUUUGAAUGUCACUCAUGAUUUCACUGCAGAAGCUGACAUUCCUUUGUUUAGUAAUCCCUUGGACUCCCAGAAGAGAAGUUCGGUAGACAAGACCAAACAUUGCGAAUAGAAAUCAUUGAUCGAGGAACCAAUUCAUCAACCACAGACCUGGUAACUACUACCACCAGAUUUUAUUCCAAACAAGAUGUUUUGCCACGUCUACAUUUGUGAGCAGACCUUAGUAAAGGAAAUCAUUAAAAACAAAUGCCCAUUGCAACUGACAGAUCAAAAUCUUACCAAUCUCGUGUGUUUGCCCAUUUCUCAACUAUGGCCGGAGAUUGAUAAACUAGUGGGAUUUGGGAGAUUGUGUAUUACCAGUUGUACUACAUGACUUUGUUCAUGCUAUAUUGGAUUUAAUAAAUGUAAACUUAAUUUUAUUAAAUAUCUGCAGUAUUUA